UUUUUUUUUUUUUUUUUUUUUUUNAUCUUAUUGGAAUAUAGUUGACUUACAAUGUUGUAGUAAUUUCAGGUGUACAGCAAGGUGAAUCGCUUAUACAUAUACACAUUCUUUUUUUUCCCAUAUAGGUUAUUACAAACUAUUGAGUAGAUUUUUCCUAUGCUAUACUGUAGGUUCUUAUUAAUCAUCUAUUUUAUACUGUAGUGUAUGUAAUUCCCACCCUUCCAAUUCCUCCCUCCCCCCAACAGUUUCUCCGAUGGUAACAGUAACCUUAGUUUUAAAAUCUGUGAGUUUGUUUCUGUUUUAUAAAUAGAUUCUUUUGUAUCAUUUUAAAUUAUAUUCCACAUACAAGUGAUAUCAUGUGCUAUUUGUCUUUCUCCCUACCUCUUUUUAUUUUAUGUUGUCUUUUUAUCUAUUUUGAAGGCUGCACCACAACGCCGGAUCCUUAACCCACUGAGCAAGGCCAGGGGUCGAACCCGCAACCUUAUGGUUCCUAGUCAGAUUCACUAACCACUGAGCCACGACAGGAACUCCAGUAAUAAUUUUUUUUUAAAUAAUUAUACAUUGAAAUGCUACUGUUCUGGGCAUAAUGGACUAAAGAAACUUAGAAUUCAUCUCACCUCUUCUUUUUAAAUUUUUUAACGUGGCUACUAGAAACUUUACAGUGAUUUGAGUUUUGUAUUACGAUUCCUUUGGACAGUGCUGGUCUAGGGUAUUCCUUGGGUGUUCUGCCUUUGAGUCUUAAGGAACCAGAAAGGAGGAGACUGAACCUCACGCAUCUUCCUUAUGAAAGGAUGUGAUCCUGAACAUACAUGAAUCCUUGCCCUCCCAUGGGACUGACAAGGAGCUGAGUCACCUGCCCCUCCCUAGCUGCAAGGGAGGCAGGAACACACUUUUGCUAGACGGCAGCCUCCAAACCAGCUAAACCUCAGGGGGCAGGAGGAAUGGCUACUGGAGAAAAUUGACUCAAUCAAGUUGAAUUGCUACCUGUCCCCCAAAAGACAUUGCAGUCCUAACCCCCCUAGUACCUCAGAAUGUGCCCUUAUUGGAAAUGGGGUCUUUAUAAUCAAGUUAGAAGGAGGCCAUUAGGGUGACCACUAAUCCAGUACGAUUGGUGUCCUUAUGAUAAGGGGAAACGUGGACACAGACCCACACAGGGGAGACCACGUGAGUAGACAGAGAUAAGGCCAGUGAAGGUGAAGGCAGAGACCAGGGUGAUGCACCUGUAAGCCAAGGAAACACCCAAGGUUGCCUUCAGAGCACUAGGAGUGAGGACAGAGGUGUGAAACCAGUGUACCCUCACAGCCUCAGAGGGAACCAACCCUGCCAACACCUGGCUCUUGAGCUUCUAGCUUCCAGAGCUACAAGACAAUAAGCUUGUUAUUUAAGGCUCCCAGUGAGUGGCACUUUAGGGUGGCAGCCCUGGGAAAUGGAUGCCCUCGGCGACAAACCAAGGCAGUUUCCACGGUGAGGUGUGCCAGAUGUUCUUUGUUUUGAUUACUUUUGCCCCAGAUGUGAAUCUUGGCUGCCAUUUGCCCAUUGUUUCUUUUCUGUCUGUCAGUGGACGUCUGUUGGAACAGGUUGUUCAGGUGAUGUUAAGUGCCUUGUCCAUGUUCGAAAUGAAAACUGCUGAGUGUUGUCAGCUGAUGACAUGAGGGUGUCCAUCAGGCUUUUCCUUUGCGUCCAGUAAUACACUGGGUGACCUAUUUAAUGAGAUGUAUGAUCUACAGGAUGCGUGCUAAGUACACUGCUUGCCGUCAUCACUUUGGGAUUGCUUACACAGAUGGGAACUGUCACAAUCUGAUCCCACACCUUCACAGGAAAAUUUGGGAAUGAUGUCACCGAUUACACAUUAUCAAUUUAGUUUUAGGUCACACCGAGUGCAUGCAUUCAUUCAGUCAACAUGCAAUUCAUACAACUGUGAAAUAUGAGGAUUCUAAAUUCUAUCAGUUAAUUGCAUUUGAACAUAUAUGCCAGUUUGACUUGCUUGAAAAUUGGGGCUUAGAAUUCUGAGCAAAAUGUUAGAUUUGUUGCAAAAGAAUUUAAAAUUGUGGCACUUCCACUUCCUAGAUAUAUAGCUUUAUUACUGUAACCUGAUAAUGUAUUAAUUUUUUAAAACCCACAUUGACCUCUUCAUUUGUACUUGAUUUACUGCGGGUUAUUUCCUACCGCUAUUGCUUGCCAAGCCCUGUCUUUCUCUUUGUGUGCUUGCCCUGUUGGGUAUUUGAACCCAAAUGCAGGACACUGUAUUAUCCCAGUUAAAUUUUAUUUUCUUUGUUAAGUUUGUUCAGUUUCAUUUUCUAUAAAUCUGUUGCUCUGGUUUUUGCAUCAAAUUCUGACUCUUAACAUAAUCACACUGAGUUAUGCACAAACUUAGUAGGCAUGCCUAUUUUUUAGUAUUGAAAUAUAGUUGAUUUGUAGUGUUGUUUCAGGUAUACAGCACAGUGAUUCACAUAUAUAUAUGUGUAUGUGUGUAUUUUUUCAGAUUCUUUUCCCUUAUAGGUUAUUAAAAAUAUUGAAUGUAGUUCCCCUGUGUUCUACAGUAGGUCCUUGUUGCUUAUCUAUUUUAUGCAUAGUAGCGUGUCUAUUAAUCCCAAAUUCCUAACUUAUUCCUUUCUCUUCCGACGUGCCUAUUUGAUCUAAGUCACUAAUUUAAUAGUUAAGUCACUAAUCUUUAGAUAUGGAUAUGUAACCAGACCUCAAAGAAUGUGAAUUUAGGCAUUGCCCAUUUGGAAGAUAGCAGUAGCUGUUAUGUAUAUGGCAUUGCCAUAUGUUGUCUGUAUCAUUUACAGGCAUAGUUCAUGUUAUGUACUUUCCAGAUAUUGCAUUUUUUACAAAUUGAAGAUUGCUGACAACCCCGCAUCCAGCAAGUCUAUUGGCACUGCUUUUCCAACAGCAUUUGCUCACUUCGUGUCUCUGUCACAUUUUGCUAAUUCUCAAAGUUAUUGCAGACAUUUUCAUUAUUGCUAUAGUCAUUGUCAUGAUUUGUGAUCAGUGAUCUUUUAUGAUGCUAUUGUAAUUGUUUUUUGCUUUAUAAUUUUAAGUUACGUACCUUGUUUUCCAAGACAUAAUGCUAUUAUAAGGCCACAGUACUGUGUAAACAGACUUUUAUAUGUACUGGGAAACUAAAAAUUCUUGACUCACUUUAUUGCCAUAUUUUAUUGCAGUAGUCUGGAACUGAACCCACAUUAUCUUUGACAUAUGCCUGUAUGUGAUAAUUAUUGACCUCCUUCCAAAUGGGCAAUGCCGUAAUCCACAUUUUUGGAGGUCUGGUUACAGCUGGUCCAUUAUAUUAUUUCUCAUCUCCGUUCUUCCGUCUUGGCCCAGUUUUAUCCCUUACUAUCUGUGUGAUACCGGGUAAGUUAUGUAAUCUCUCAUCUGCGGUUUUCUUGUUUGUAAACCAGAGUGAUACCAGCACCUCCCUUCCAGCAUCAUUGCAAGGAUUAGGGUAAUAUCUGGCACAUGGUAAAUCCUCAAGAAAUGGUAGCUAAUGAGACCUGUUACCCUGAUGCCUCACCCAGUACCUGGCAUUUGUAGAUCUUCAGUGGUGUGUGAUUCAUGAAUGGGUUCAAAGUUUACCAGUUGACUAUGAUGGACAUGCAUGAGCCAGUUCCAGCAGUACAAGGCUUGUGGCAUUCAAAACAAAACCAGGAGUCCAGGGGACAAGUACAUAGGAGUUUAGAGAGGGCUGCAUUGCAAAGAUGAGCUUGGGACUGGACUUCCUUGAUUGGGCAGUUAGGAUUAAUGGAGGGAAACUGGUACUGGCGAGGGAACGUCAAGAGCAGAGGUGGUAGGAGGAGACUCAGGGAAGAGGGAGGUGUACAGAGUAGUCAGCUUGCGUGGGAGGGAGGGGCUUCUGCACAGCAUGGAAAGCAGGGGGCAGGGGGUGUAGGUAGAACUGAAGAGUGAGGCUUGAAGCUGAUGGCAUUUUGGACAUUAGGAUAAUCUGGGGGUUUUGUGUGACCCACUAGGGAAGAGGGCCAGGCCCAGGGCCAAGGCUCGGGUGGUGGCUGCCCUGGGAGGGAAAGGAUGUGGUGCCUUGAGUGGGUGUGGGAUGAAGAGCAAGGAGGAAACCGCAAUUCCUGUUGCUACACAAAGGCCACACCCCACCCUGGGCGUGCGAGCCAAGCGCCAGCGCCCCUCAUCUCCUGAGAAAUCUGGCGUGGGCUGUUAUCACGCUUGCCUUUUACUAGCAGCUUGGUGGGAAGAGACAUUAGGAAACUUCAGAAGUUUAAAAAAAAAAAAA
rnacentral:lncRNA from 1 species